rfam:Nicotiana attenuata strain TT chromosome 12, whole genome shotgun sequence.
GAUAAAUGCCGGCAAAGCCCAGUACUGCAGAAGAAAUUAAAUGAAGUACUCCAGACUAUUAAUAAACCAAUCCAAUAAAUUCCCUCAUUUUAUAAGCCACACUGGGACUGAGACACGACCCAGACUCCUACGGGAGGCAGCAGUGGGGAAUUUUCCGCAAUGGACGAAAUCCUGACGGAGCAAUGCCGCGUGGAGGUAGAAGGCCCACGGGUCAUGAACUUCUUUUCCCGGAGAGAUCCUUCCUGUGUGAAAGCACAGAGAAAAAUGACAUUGCCAAAAAUUGACAAGGUUAAAUUUCCAUUUAU